GAUGAACGCUGGCGGCGUGCCUAAUACAUGCAAGUCGAGCGAACAGACGAGGAGCUUGCUCCUCUGACGUUAGCGGCGGACGGGUGAGUAACACGUGGAUAACCUACCUAUAAGACUGGGAUAACUUCGGGAAACCGGAGCUAAUACUGGAUAAUAUAUUGAACCGCAUGGUUCAAUAGUGAAAGACGGUUUUGCUGUCACUUAUAGAUGGAUCCGCGCCGCAUUAGCUAGUUGGUAAGGUAACGGCUUACCAAGGCAACGAUGCGUAGCCGACCUGAGAGGGUGAUCGGCCACACUGGAACUGUGACACGGUCCAGACUCCUACGGGAGGCAGCAGUAGGGAAUCUUCCGCAAUGGGCGAAAGCUUGACGGAGCAACGCCGCGUGAGUGAUGAAGUUCUUCGGAUCGUAAAACUCUGUUAUUAGGGAAUAACAAAUGUGUAAGUAACUAUGCACGUCUUGACGGUACCUAAUCAGAAAGCCACGGCUAACUACGUG
rnacentral:rRNA from 1 species